GUCCCCAUUAGAAUUGGAAGCUUGUACUGCUGGAAGGUAUGCGAAACAGGACACACCCUACGUUCAAAACUAUGAAUCUGCGCUCCACAAAUUCACUCGACCAGUCCAACCCUUCAAUAUUCUACAGAAUGCAGUGACUUCCAUGCCUGGUGGCCAAUCCGCAGUUCAGCGGCGCCAAGGAUAUACAAAUAAUUCAAAACCCAAAUCAGAGAGGGCGAGCCUACCGAUCCCAAUCACGUCAAAACGCCCACCGUUUAACCGUCAGCAAGCUCGCGUGUAUCGGAAAGAUAAUUCAAACUUGUCAACUUCCCGGCGUAAACAAAUGCAGUCACACCCAGCUGCCCUUGACAGCCGAAAGCUGGAGAAGACCCAAAUACCAAAAGAUUUAGCCAAUGGUGCGAGGCCUCAGUCGCUUUUAAACCUUGGAGAGCAAUGGCUA
rnacentral:sRNA from 1 species